rnacentral:rRNA from 1 species
GACGAACGCUGGCGGCGUGCUUAACACAUGCAAGUCGAACGGAAAGGCCCUGCUUUUGUGGGGUGCUCGAGUGGCGAACGGGUGAGUAACGCGUGAGUAACCUGCCCUUGACUUUGGGAUAACUUCAGGAAACUGGGGCUAAUACCGGAUAGGAGCUCCUGCUGCAUGGUGGGGGUUGGAAAGUUUCGGCGGUUGGGGAUGGACUCGCGGCUUAUCAGCUUGUUGGUGGGGUAGUGGCUUACCAAGGCUUUGACGGGUAGCCGGCCUGAGAGGGUGACCGGCCACAUUGGGACUGAGAUACGGCCCAGACUCCUACGGGAGGCAGCAGUGGGGAAUAUUGCACAAUGGGCGGAAGCCUGAUGCAGCAACGCCGCGUGCGGGAUGACGGCCUUCGGGUUGUAAACCGCUUUCGCCUGUGACGAAGCGUGAGUGACGGUAAUGGGUAAAGAAGCACCGGCUAACUACGUGCCAGCAGCCGCGGUGAUACGUAGGGUGCGAGCGUUGUCCGGAUUUAUUGGGCGUAAAGGGCUCGUAGGUGGUUGAUCGCGUCGGAAGUGUAAUCUUGGGGCUUAACCCUGAGCGUGCUUUCGAUACGGGUUGACUUGAGGAAGGUAGGGGAGAAUGGAAUUCCUGGUGGAGCGGUGGAAUGCGCAGAUAUCAGGAGGAACACCAGUGGCGAAGGCGGUUCUCUGGGCCUUUCCUGACGCUGAGGAGCGAAAGCGUGGGGAGCGAACAGGCUUAGAUACCCUGGUAGUCCACGCUGUAAACGGUGGGUACUAGGUGUGGGGUCCAUUCCACGGGUUCCGUGCCGUAGCUAACGCUUUAAGUACCCCGCCUGGGGAGUACGGCCGCAAGGCUAAAACUCAAAGGAAUUGACGGGGCCCCGCACGAGCGGCGGAGCAUGCGGAUUAAUUCGAUGCAACGCGUAGAACCUUACCUGGGUUUGACAUGGAUCGGGAGUGCUCAGAGAUGGGUGUGCCUCUUUUGGGGUCGGUUCACAGGUGGUGCAUGGCUGUCGUCAGCUCGUGUCGUGAGAUGUUGGGUUAAGUCCCGCAACGAGCGCAACCCUUGUUCACUGUUGCCAGCACGUUAUGGUGGGGACUCAGUGGAGACCGCCGGGGUCAACUCGGAGGAAGGUGGGGAUGACGUCAAGUCAUCAUGCCCCUUAUGUCCAGGGCUUCACGCAUGCUACAAUGGCUGGUACAGAGAGUGGCGAGCCUGUGAGGGUGAGCGAAUCUCGGAAAGCCGGUCUCAGUUCGGAUUGGGGUCUGCAACUCGACCUCAUGAAGUCGGAGUCGCUAGUAAUCGCAGAUCAGCAACGCUGCGGUGAAUACGUUCCCGGG